rnacentral:rRNA from 1 species
GACGAACGCUGGCGGCGUGCUUAACACAUGCAAGUCGAACGGAAAGGCCCUGCUUGCCGGGUACUCGAGUGGCGAACGGGUGAGUAACACGUGGGUGAUCUGCCCUGCACUUCGGGAUAAGCCUGGGAAACUGGGUCUAAUACCGGAUAGGAGCCAUUUUUAGUGUGAUGGUUGGAAAGUUUUUUCGGUGUUGGAUGAGCUCGCGGCCUAUCAGCUUGUUGGUGGGGUAAUGGCCUACCAAGGCGGCGACGGGUAGCCGGCCUGAGAGGGUGGGCGGCCACAUUGGGACUGAGAGACGGCCCAGACGCCUACGGGAGGCAGCAGUGGGGAAGAUUGCACAAUGGGCGCAAGCCUGAUGCAGCGACGCCGCGUGGGGGAUGACGGCCUUCGGGUUGUAAACUCCUUUCGCUAGGGACGAAGCUUUUUGUGACGGUACCUAGAGAAGAAGCACCGGCUAACUACGUG